CCUACGGGAGGCAGCAGUGGGGAAUUUUGGACAAUGGGCGCAAGCCUGAUCCAGCCAUGCCGCGUGUGGGGAGAAGGCCUUCGGGUUGUAAACCACUUUUGUCAGGGAAGAAACGGUCUGAACUAAUACUCUGGACUAAUGACGGUACCUGAAGAAUAAGCACCGGCUAACUACGUGCCAGCAGCCGCGGUAAUACGUAGGGUGCAAGCGUUAAUCGGAAUUACUGGGCGUAAAGCGUGCGCAGGCGGCUUUGCAAGACAGAUGUGAAAUCCCCGGGCUCAACCUGGGAACUGCAUUUGUGACUGCAUGGCUAGAGUACGGUAGAGGGGGAUGGAAUUCCGCGUGUAGCAGUGAAAUGCGUAGAUAUGCGGAGGAACACCGAUGGCGAAGGCAAUCCCCUGGACCUGUACUGACGCUCAUGCACGAAAGCGUGGGGAGCAAACAGGAUUAGAUACCCUGGUAGUCCACGCCCUAAACGAUGUCAACUGGUUGUUGGGAGGGUUUCUUCUCAGUAACGAAGCUAACGCGUGAAGUUGACCGCCUGGGGAGUACGGCCGCAAGGUUGAAACUUAAAGGAAUUGACGG
rnacentral:rRNA from 1 species